GAAUCCAGAGAGCUCCCUCAGCGUCAUGUCGAGGACGAAAUUCCCAAAUCAUCUUUGCCAACGAUACGCUACCUUCUCCGGAGGAGCAGGUAUCGACAUGCUCUCUUCAGCAGCAUCGUCACACUCAUCAUGGGAGGGUUGGUUUUUUCCUUCAUCCUGAUUUUGAUCGUUUUUCUUCAGCUUGCAGAGCGGUCCUUCUCAAAUGCAUUCACUACCACAGGAAUUGUCUGCGGCUUCCUGAUAAUGUUCGUUGUGGCCUCAGCACAUACUUACACUUGUGAUCUGCUUCUCAGACAAGCUUAUUCUUGAUUAUGAGUCUCUUUCUUUCCACAUUGGUGGGAAGUGGUGGAAGCUUGCUACCGAAAUUAGCAUAGUGGUUCUGGGUAGCAGGCGUGUGCUUAUGAUCCUGUCCGUCGUCUUCAUUGUUGCUCCACUUUGCCUGGUGGAAAAAAUGAGACAGGAACAUCGAUUGUCAUCUGGCUGCUCGUCGUAAUAGUCAUGGAUGCUAUCAGGUUCAAGCUGCCUGCGGUGAAAAACGGGGAGCUUGCUGCUGUCGGCUUCACAAGU